UACGUAGGGCGCAAGCGUUGUCCGGAAUUAUUGGGCGUAAAGAGCUCGUAGGCGGUUUGUCGCGUCGGAUGUGAAAGCCCGGAGCUCAACUCCGGGACUGCCUUGGAUACGGGAUCGCUUGAGGAUCGGAGAGGCAAGGGGAAUUCCACGUGUAGCGGUGAAAUGCGUAGAGAUGUGGAGGAACACCUGUGGCGAAGGCGCCUUGCUGGCCGAUUUCUGACGCUGAGGCGCGAAAGCGUGGGGAGCAAACAGG
rnacentral:rRNA from 1 species